rnacentral:rRNA from 1 species
UACGAAGGGGGCUAGCGUUGUUCGGAAUUACUGGGCGUAAAGCGCGCGCAGGCGGUCUUCCAAGUCAGUGGUGAAAGCCCGGAGCUCAACUCCGGAAUUGCCAUUGAAACUGUGAGACUGGAGUACGAGAGAGGUGAGUGGAAUUCCCAGUGUAGAGGUGAAAUUCGUAGAUAUUGGGAAGAACACCAGUGGCGAAGGCGGCUGACUGGACAUGUAUUGACGCUGAGGUGCGAAAGCGUGGGGAGCAAACAGGG